rnacentral:rRNA from 1 species
GGAAUAUUGGGCAAUGGAGGCAACUCUGACCCAGCGACGCCGCGUGCGGGAUGAAGGCCUUCGGGUUGUAAACCGCUUUCAGUUGGGAAGAAGCGAAAGUGACGGUACCUACAAAAGAAGCACCGGCUAACUAUGUGCCAGCAGCCGCGGUAAUACAUAGGGUGCAAGCGUUGUCCGGAAUUAUUGGGCGUAAAGAGCUCGUAGGUCGUUUGUUACGUCGGAUGUGAAAACCUGAGGCUCAACCUCAGGCCUGCAUUCGAUACGGGCAAACUAGAGUUUGGUAGGGGAGACUGGAAUUCCUGGUGUAGCGGUGGAAUGCGCAGAUAUCAGGAGGAACACCAAUGGCGAAGGCAGGUCUCUGGGCCAAUACUGACACUGAGGAGCGAAAGUCUGGGGAGCGAACAGGAUUAGAUACCCUGGUAGUCCAGACCGUAAACGGUGGGCACUAGUUGUGGGAACCUUCCACGGUUUCUGCGACGCAGCUAACGCAUUAAGUGCCCCGCCUGGGGAGUACGAUCGCAAGAUUAAAACUCAAAGGAAUUGACGG